GGGGAGUUGGUGACCCGCCCCGAGCGCUAUUCAGGGGCAGAGGUGACAGCAGUGUGCAGAGAAGCGGCUCUACAGGCGCUGCAGGAGAGCAUCUCAGCUGAACAGGUGAAGGACACACACUUCCAGAGCGCGCUGAACAUCAUCACACCCCGAAUCCCAGAGUCCCUCCUGCAGACCUACAGCAGAUACCAGCAGCAGCAGCGCACACACACAUACACACAACCAUAAACACACACACACACACACAACCAUCACACCCAGAAUCCCAGAGUCCCUUCUGCAGACCUAUAAACACACCACACACACACAACUACACACACAAAACACACACAACCAUCACACCCUGAAUCCCAGAGUCCCUCCUGCAGACCUACAGCAGAUACCAGCAGCAGCAGCGCACACACACAUACACACAACCAUAAACACACACACACACACAACCAUCACACACUGAAUCCCAGAGUCCCUUCUGCAGACCUAUAAACACACCACACACACACAACUACACACACAAAACACACACAACCAUCACACCCUGAAUCCCAGAGUUCCUCCUGCAGACCUAUAAACACACCACACACACAACCAUAAACAUACAACAAAAAUACACAACACACACACACAACCAUCACACCCUGAAUCCCAGAGUCCCUCCUGCAGACCUACAGCAGAUAACAUCAACAGCAGCGCACACACACACACACACACACACAACCAUCACACCCCGAAUCAGAGUCUCUACUGUAGCCCUACAGCAGCACACACACAAAUCAUGAAUGCACAAUUACACACACGCACAACGAACACACAACCAUAAAAACACAACUACACACUGAGAUCCAUAAACACAACUACAAUAGACACAACAGACUGCAGAUGUCUGACUGAUGUGUGUGUGACAGAGAGUGUGUGAGUGAAUGAGUGAGUGAAUGAGUGUGUAAAUGUGUGUUUGUGUGUGUGUGUGUGUGUGUGCGCGUGCGUGCAUGCGUGCGUGCAUGCGUGUGUGUCUUUGUGUGUGCGUGUGUGUGCGUCUGCGUGUGCACGUAUGUGUGUGUGUGUGUGUGAGAUGCUCAGAGACGCUCCUGCCGAGCAGCUCACAGGCCAACACACUGCGCCUGCUCUAUAAACAGCAGCUUCGUUCUCCCGUUUACACUCUUCUUCCAUAUCAAUAUUUCAGACAUUGUGAGAUUUUGGGUCUGAAUUCUGCUGAUGUAUAAUAAUGUUAGAUAAUGUUCAACACUUGACACCAUUGCUGCAUCAAACAAUGGAUAUUUGUUCAUCUGAAUGUGGAUUUUUCUGAAAGUCAGAUGAUUUUAUUACAUGAGUAGUGUGUAUGUUUUGUAAAGGUUUGGAGUGUUUUCAUGCGUCAUGAGUAAUAAAACAUGCAAGUUUAAUAC